GUUUGGUAUACUCAGUGUAUAUUUUAGUUACAACACUGCCACUCUGCCACCUCUCAAUUGAGAGAUGUCUGAGAGCUCCACCGUCCUCACAGCUCCGCUCAACCGUCCUCCCUGCCAUGCAGUCGGUGUCCCCUGUCACCAAAGCCAUAUUCAUUGCUUUGUUUCUCUUCGCCAUCCUGCUCAUUCUAUACGUCAUCCUCUGGUAUAUAUGCCGAGACACCGACAAUGACUACAUUUAAACAAGCGAAGGUCACUUAUCGAGGUAACAGAACUGUCCAAGAUGCAGCUCCAUGGACAGGUGAGGAUCACACCACCCCACCCCACCCCAGGCCUAAAUACCCAUGGCAUAGAUAGGAGCCUGUCCAACCAUUGCCGGUGAGACUGUUGGGCUCAGUGGGAUUCAUCAGACUUGGCGGUCAAACUUGGACAUGCUCUAACAGUGUGGUAAGAUGUGCUUGGAGGCCACAGAUAAGAGCAAGAGGAAGACGGCAUGGAGCAGUCACUGCCAAGUGUAAACAACCAGGGAAGAGGGUGACUUCACAAUCAUCCUUCUCUCUGGUGGACUGUCCGCCGAGAGGAUGGCUCAGCUUGGCCUUAAGAUAGAACCCAAAUACAUUGUUGAAUAUACCCUGUGUCAUGGUGACUAUACCUAUCACAUUGCUGUAUGCUCUCCAUCUGUGACGGUGAUAUUGUGAUCAUGAAAUUGUAACAUGUUGAGCUUAAUGUUAUCCUAGUUGUCUAAUAAAUGUUUUAUUUUGCAAGUUA